UACGAAGGGGGGCUAGCGUUGCUCGGAAUCACUGGGCGUAAAGCGCACGUAGGCGGCUUUCUAAGUCAGGGGGUGAAAUCCUGGAGCUCAACUCCAGAACUGCCUUUGAUACUGGAGAGCUUGAGUCCGGAAGAGGUGAGUGGAACUCCGAGUGUAGAGGUGAAAUUCGUAGAUAUUCGGAAGAACACCAGUGGCGAAGGCGGCUCACUGGUCCGGUACUGACGCUGAGGUG
rnacentral:rRNA from 1 species